rnacentral:rRNA from 1 species
GACGAACCGUGCGAACGUUAUUCGGAAUCACUGGGCGUAAAGGGCGCGUAGGCGGGCUCGCAGGUCAGGGGUGAAAGCCCACGGCUCAACCGUGGAAGUGCCUUUGAUACCGUGAGUCUCGAGGGAGGUAGGGGCGUGCGGAACUUCCGGUGGAGCGGUGAAAUGCGUAGAUAUCGGAAGGAACAUCGGUGGCGAAAGCGGCGCGCUGGACCUCUUCCGACGCUGAGGCGCGAAAGCCAGGGGAGCAAACGGG